rnacentral:rRNA from 1 species
GACGAACGCUGGCGGCGUGCCUAAUACAUGCAAGUCGAACGCAGUGGGGACGGGUGAGUAAAACGUGGGUAACCUCCCAUCAGAGGGGAGAAAACUUGGAAACAGGUGCUAAACCCAUAUCGAAGGAGGGAAUCGCGGUGCAGUAGCUAGUUGGUGUGGUAACGGCUGACCAAGUCCACGAUGCAUAGCCGACCUGGGAGGGUGAUCGGCCACACUGGGACUGAGACACGGCCCAGACUCCGACGGGAGGCAGCAGUAGGGAAUCUUCGACAAGGGACGAAAGUCUGACCGAGCAACGCCGCGUGAGUGAAGAAGGUUUUCGGAUCGUAAAACUCUGUUGUUAGAGAAGCGGUAUCUAACCAGAAAGCCACGGCUAACUACGUGCCAGCCGCCGCGGUAAUUC